CACGGGUGAGUAACACGUAUCCAACCUGCCGUCUACUCUUGGACAGCCUUCUGAAAGGAAGAUUAAUACAAGAUGGCAUCAUGAGUCCGCAUGUUCACAUGAUUAAAGGUAUUCCGGUAGACGAUGGGGAUGCGUUCCAUUAGAUAGUAGGCGGGGUAACGGCCCACCUAGUCUUCGAUGGAUAGGGGUUCUGAGAGGAAGGUCCCCCACAUUGGAACUGAGCACGGUCCAA
rnacentral:rRNA from 1 species